UUCUUAUCAAGAGAGGUCGAGGGAAUGGCCCAAUGAAGCCUCAGCAACCUUCAAUGUCUUUUAGACAUUGAAAAGGUGCUAAUUCCAGCAAGUUCAUUUGAACUUGAAAGAUAAGAA
rnacentral:ncRNA from 2 species